rnacentral:rRNA from 1 species
GACGAACGCUGGCGGCGUGCCUAAUACAUGCAAGUUGAGCGAUGAAGCUUGGUGCUUGCCCCAAUUUGAAGAGCAGCGAACGGGUGAGUAACGCGUGGGGAAUCUGCCUUUGAGCGGGGGACAACAUUUGGAAACGAAUGCUAAUACCGCAUAACAACUUUAAACAUAAGUUUUAAGUUUGAAAGAUGCAAUUGCAUCACUCAAAGAUGAUCCCGCGUUGUAUUAGCUAGUUGGUGAGGUAAAGGCUCACCAAGGCGAUGAUACAUGGCCGACCUGAGAGGGUGAUCGGCCACAUUGGGACUGAGACACGGCCCAAACUCCUACGGGAGGCAGCAGUAGGGAAUCUUCGGCAAUGGACGAAAGUCUGACCGAGCAACGCCGCGUGAGUGAAGAAGGUUUUCGGAUCGUAAAACUCUGUUGGUAGAGAAGAACGUUGGUGAGAGUGGAAAGCUCAUCAAGUGACGGUAACUACCCAGAAAGGGACGGCUAACUACGUG